rnacentral:rRNA from 1 species
CGAUGAACCGCUUUCGGGCGGGGAUUAGUGGCGAACGGGUGAGUAACACGUGGGCAAUCUGCCCUGCACUCUGGGACAAGCCCUGGAAACGGGGUCUAAUACCGGAUAUGACUGUCCAUCGCAUGGUGGAUGGUGUAAAGCUCCGGCGGUGCAGGAUGAGCCCGCGGCCUAUCAGCUUGUUGGUGAGGUAGUGGCUCACCAAGGCGACGACGGGUAGCCGGCCUGAGAGGGCGACCGGCCACACUGGGACUGAGACACGGCCCAGACUCCUACGGGAGGCAGCAGUGGGGAAUAUUGCACAAUGGGCGAAAGCCUGAUGCAGCGACGCCGCGUGAGGGAUGACGGCCUUCGGGUUGUAAACCUCUUUCAGCAGGGAAGAAGCGAAAGUGACGGUACCUGCAGAAGAAGCGCCGGCUAACUACGUGCCAGCAGCCGCGGUAAUACGUAGGGCGCAAGCGUUGUCCGGAAUUAUUGGGCGUAAAGAGCUCGUAGGCGGCUUGUCACGUCGGUUGUGAAAGCCCGGGGCUUAACCCCGGGUCUGCAGUCGAUACGGGCAGGCUAGAGUUCGGUAGGGGAGAUCGGAAUUCCUGGUGUAGCGGUGAAAUGCGCAGAUAUCAGGAGGAACACCGGUGGCGAAGGCGGAUCUCUGGGCCGAUACUGACGCUGAGGAGCGAAAGCGUGGGGAGCGAACAGGAUUAGAUACCCUGGUAGUCCACGCCGUAAACGGU